rnacentral:rRNA from 1 species
GACGAGCGCUGGCGGCGUGCUUAACACAUGCAAGUCGAACGCUGAAGCUCAGCUUUUGUUGGGUGGAUGAGUGGCGAACGGGUGAGUAACACGUGAGUAACCUGCCUCCUUCUUUGGGAUAACGCCCGGAAACGGGUGCUAAUACCGGAUAUUCACUGGUCUUCGCAUGGGGGUUGGUGGAAAGGGUUUUUCUGGUGGGGGAUGGGCUCGCGGCCUAUCAGCUUGUUGGUGGGGUGAUGGCCUACCAAGGCUUUGACGGGUAGCCGGCCUGAGAGGGUGACCGGUCACAUUGGGACUGAGAUACGGCCCAGACUCCUACGGGAGGCAGCAGUGGGGAAUAUUGCACAAUGGGCGCAAGCCUGAUGCAGCGACGCCGCGUGAGGGAUGGAGGCCUUCGGGUUGUGAACCUCUUUCGCUCAUGGUCAAGCCGCAACAAUGGUUGUGGUGAGGGUAGUGGGUAAAGAAGCGCCGGCUAACUACGUG